CCUACGGGAGGCAGCAGUAGGGAAUAUUGGUCAAUGGGGGAAAGCCUGAAGCAGCAACGUCGCGUGGAGGAUGACGGCUCUCGGAGUGUUAACCCCUUUUGUUAGAGAAGAUAAUGACGGUAUGUAACGAAUAAGCACCGGCUAACUCCGUGCCAGCAGCCGCGGUAAUACGGCGGGUGCCAGCGUUACUCGGAAUCACUGGGCGUAAAGAGCGCGUAGGCGGGAUAGCAAGUCAGAUGUGAAAUCCUAUGGCUUAACCAUAGAACUGCAUUUGAAACUGUUAUUCUAGAGUAUGGGAGAGGUAGGUGGAAUUCGUGGUGUAGGGGUAAAAUCCGUAGAUAUCAAGAAGAAUACUGAUUGCGAAGGCGACCUACUAGAACAUAACUGACGCUGAUGCGCGAAAGCGUGGGGAUCAAACAGGAUUAGAUACCCCUGUAGUC
rnacentral:rRNA from 1 species